rnacentral:rRNA from 1 species
GAUGAACGCUGGCGGCGUGCCUAAUACAUGCAAGUAGAACGCUGAAGGAAGGAGCUUGCUCUUUCCGGAUGAGUUGCGAACGGGUGAGUAACGCGUAGGUAACCUGCCUGGUAGCGGGGGAUAACUAUUGGAAACGAUAGCUAAUACCGCAUAACAGUAGAUGUUGCAUGACAACUAUUUGAAAGGGGCAAUUGCUCCACUACCAGAUGGACCUGCGUUGUAUUAGCUAGUUGGUGAGGUAACGGCUCACCAAGGCGACGAUACAUAGCAGACCUGAGAGGGUGAUCGGCCACACUGGGACUGAGACACGGCCCAGACUCCUACGGGAGGCAGCAGUAGGGAAUCUUCGGCAAUGGACGGAAGUCUGACCGAGCAACGCCGCGUGAGUGAAGAAGGUUUUCGGAUCGUAAAGCUCUGUUGUAAGAGAAGAACGAGUGUGAGAGUGGAAAGUUCACACUGUGACGGUAUCUUACCAGAAAGGGACGGCUAACUACGUG